rnacentral:rRNA from 1 species
GGAAGUGGGGAUGACGUCAAAUCAUCAUGCCCCGUUAUGGACCUGGGCUACACACGUGCUACAAUGGGCGGUACAAAGGGCUGCGAACCCGCGAGGGGGAGCGAAUCCCAAAAAGCCGCUCUCAGUUCGGAUUGCAGGCUGCAACUCGCCUGCAUGAAGCCGGAAUCGCUAGUAAUCGCGGAUCAGCAUGCCGCGGUGAAUACGUUCCCGGGGCCCUU